rnacentral:lncRNA from 10 species
CUCUUUCUCUCUCCCCGCCCAGAGUUUUCUCUGUCGCGUAGGGUGUUGUGUUAAUUUUGGCGGUCUCAGAUGUCUCAGGUACCUGGGUCGGAGUCCUUUCUGUUGUUAUCUACUGGAUUCCCUUGAUUCAAGGCCUAGGGAGUUCCUGCCCUACACUGGCCCUCGCGAAAAUAUUUGUCUUUGAGGACGUCUGGGGCUGCGACCGCGGAAUAGAAAAAAAUAGUAGGUGAGCUGCUGCCAAAAAGGAGCGACUAGAAAGGUUUUGUACUUGCUUCUGUAGAAGGGGAAUUUCUCUUUUGUGCUAAUGAUGUGGAAAGAAAAAACAAAAAGACUGUAAAAUAGCGAUGCCCUAAACAUAAUGGAGAAAAGCGGGAGAAACCAAGCUUUAGGACUGAAAGGGGUGGUGCCAGUCUCGUUUCCUAGGUUACUGCUUUCACGAACCGAAAGAAUUUCAGAAUGUGGCGAGCUCCAAUUUUUAAACGCACUGCUGCUUUUGCCUCAGCUGGGCUUCCAAACAGAAAGUCCAGAAGCUGCCCUCGAUGAAUCGUAACUAAUGCACUGUUACUGCCAGCGAACACAUUCCGGGUUAGAAAUAAUAGCUCUAACAAAUUGUUUUGCGCGCCUAGUCUCAUAUUAUCUUCUCAACAACGCAAUUUUACAGAUGAAGAAUCCAAGACACAUAGAUGUUUGGGAACUUUCUCUUAUCUGGUUUUAAAUAGGCUUGAAUCCAGAUCAUUGAACUCUAAACACCAGUGCUGUCUGCAUAUAGCAGAUUGUUUAUAUGUUAAGUGUGAAUUUCAGUAGUGCAAAAAAAAAAACAAAACCUGCCUCUUUUUUUUUUUUGCAUAAUUAUUUUGUCCGUGCAUAGAGAAAUAAAAAGGUACUGGCUCUAACCUGUUUAAGGAGA